AGCAGCCGCGGUAAUUCCAGCUCCAAUAGCGUAUAUUAAAGUUGUUGCAGUUAAAAAGCUCGUAGUUGAAUUUCGGGAUUGACGUGAUGGUCAUGCCUUAAGGGGUAUGAACUGUUGCAGUUGAUUUCUCACCUUCUGGAGAAACUUGAUGUCCUUUAUUGGGUGUCUUGCGGAUCCAGGACCUUUACCUUGAAAAAAUUAGAGUGUUUAAAGCAGGCAUUUUUGCUCGAAUACAUUAGCAUGGAAUAAUAGAAUAGGACGGCAUGGUUCUAUUUUGUUGGUUUCUAGGAUCACCGUAAUGAUUAAUAGGGAUAGUUGGGGGCAUUAGUAUUCAAUUGUCAGAGGUGAAAUUCUUGGAUUUAUUGAAGACUAACUACUGCGAAAGCAUUUGCCAAGGAUGUUUUCAUUAAUCAAGAACGAAAGUUAGGGGAUCGAAGACGAUCAGAUACCGUCGUAGUCUUAACCAUAAACUAUGCCGACUAGGAAUCAGACGAUGUUAAUUUUUUAAUGACUCGUUUGGCACCUUACG
rnacentral:rRNA from 1 species